UGGUGCGGAUGGGAUUAUCUCCCGCAGAGAUUUAGUUAUUACUCUUCAAAAAUAACUUGGCGUGCAUGAAA
rnacentral:ncRNA from 1 species